rnacentral:piRNA from 1 species
UGACAGUAUUGCACCACGUGUUGUAUCUGG